UCUCAAUUGCCCGUUUCCGGCGACUGCAGCAGCAGAAGCCGUUCUCUUCCCCGACCCCGGCGAGUAGCAGCGAUAAGCUGCCGCUCCACCUUUCUCCUGCUCAGACCCAGCACACCCCUCUCCUCUCCACUCAGAUCGGCCGACGACAGCCGAAGAAGUGGACUGCCGCCGCGCCCUGCCAUCUCCCUCGAAACUCUCUUCUCAGAUCGAAACCCAUACCU
rnacentral:lncRNA from 1 species